CUUUUCCUUGUAAAUUCAGAAUCUUCUGAUACAGUGGCUGAUCUUACCAUGUGCUGCAGGAGCCUCUCUGUGAAAUGGCAGCCUUCUCCUUUGCAUGAAGCUGGGCGAUGCAGGGACUGACUGGAAGCAGUGCAGAGCUGCCUGGGAUUUGGGUUUGCGUCUGGUCACCAGCGGUCAGAGUUAGCCAGAGGCAAACACUGCUCAAGAUGGACAACUCACCUCUUCCCAUCCCAACUUCCCCAUGAAUAUAUUGUGAAAUCAACCAGGUGCUGUGCUUAUGUGGUAAACAUAAUCUGCCUACAAAUACAGAGUUUAAAAUUUUCGAGGGAAGCUGCUUCUUUCUCAUUAGCAGUGUAUGCAAAACUGAUUAAAACCCUGUAAGCCAGGCACCCCAGCUUCUUGUCGUGCUAAUUACAGGGAAUGAAAAAAUGCCUGGUAAUUUACUCACAUCUCCAAAAAUAUGUUAUUCUAGCCGGAUGAAAGAAUAAGUGAUUCUUGCACCAGAAAGAGGAGACAUGCUUUCUAAGCUGGAGUGCAUUGA